rnacentral:misc_RNA from 1 species
GAUGAAGAACGUAGCGAAAUGCGAUAAGUAGUGUGAAUUGCAGAAUUCAAUGAAUCAUCGAAUCUUUGAACGCACAUUGCGCCCUUUGGUAUUCCUUAGGGCAUGCCUGUUCGAGCGUCAUUUAAACCUUCAAGCUCAGCUUGGUGUUGGGUGACUGUCCGCCGCCUCCGGGCGCGUGGACUCGCCUCAAAAUUAUUGGCGGCCGGUACAUUGGCUUCGAGCGCAGCAGAAACGCGAACUCGGGCCCGUCGUAUUGGCUCCCAGAAGCUAUCUUCACAAUUUUGACCUCGGAUCAGGUAGGGAUACCCGCUGAACUUAAGCAUAUCAAUAAGCGGAGGA